ensembl:lncRNA
CCAAGAGUGACUCACCCAGUGAAGACCAGAGUACUUAUUGUUCCAAGUGUCAAAAUCUGCAGAACUGCCUCCAGGAUUUGGGUCUCAUCCAGCUUCAAUGAACGAAACAUUCCAGCAUCUUCCUCCAGUACCUGUGAAUGCUGCAUUGUCUUCUCCCUGUGGCUUUUGUUUUUGAAAGCUCAUAAAGAGGAACCCAGGAAGUCAGGAGACAGCAGGGUGACCAUUUCCGUCCCCAGAACAGCCUUCAGCCAGUUUCUACAUGCCUCUUGCCAGGGACCAAACUGGCACCUAGGCUGCCCCGGAGGACGCAGAAAACCAGGACCCGGCUGGGGGCUGAAAUGUACUCCAUUGAAGAAUCCUCUGGCCUCCUCAGCACUGGAAGGACCAGCCAGCGGCAGUGAGAGUUUAUCAUUUGGAGGGAGCAUCUGCAUCCUCAGUAGUACUGGAGAGUCACAUCCAGGCUCAGUCCCAGAGCCCGAGUCCUGAUUGGUCCAAGAUGUUGAUGCCCCUAGCCAGAGAUUGGGCUGCUCGUGAUCACGUGGCAAAAUCUGGCCAAUGGCAGGAGCAAGUCCUUCAGGCUGCCUGGAUUCCAGAACGAAGCUCUUUUUGAAAGAAGAGGCGAGGCCCCUUUCCGAGAAGUAAGCCCCCCAGCGUGGCUUUGAAGAGCUUUGCUGACAUUGUUACAAGAGGUAUUUAUUCUCCACCCAUCUAUUUAUUCCUUGGAUGUCAACCACAGACUCUGAAAAUCCACUGUGUAUAAAAGCUCAAGUUGCAAUGAUGGAGUGCAGAGAGAGAGGGUUUUAUUCCUUGGCUGCUGUUAGAAGAGGCCCAAACCCUGAUGCCGGCUCCACCCUGAACAGCUGGGCGAAUGCUGGCCAAUUUCUUCUCCUCUCCGCAUCUUAGAUGCCUCGCCCGCAAAGGAAGGCUAAUCCUAGGAGCUCCCGUUGCAGAACUUUCAUUCGCAAAUGGCUGCUGAUACGCUGUCAUCUAGUCAUUCAACAAACAUUUGCCGAGCGCCUACUAUGUGCCAGAUUCUGUUCUAGCCACCAGGGAGACAGCAGGGGAACAAGACAGACAGUAUCCCUGCCUUCAUGGAGCUGAUGUUCUAGAAUGCGGGAGAACUUCUCCAUUUCAGACUCUGGGCGUCGUUUCUGAUUUAGUUUUAGAAGUUACACAGGGCUUUGGGGAGUACCUGGUACUUAGGUCAAUACUUCUUUUUUUCUCUAUUGUCACGAAAUGGAUGGUAAACUACCAUUCCCAGGAGAGAAGGACCCGGGGAUAGUGUGUGCAGGAGGAGGGGUGUCGGCGACUCUGGGUCUGGAGGUUGCAGCCACCGUGGUGACCUCAGGGUCCCCAUGAAGAAUCCUCAGCCCAGCUGAGACAAUGCCGACCACACCACCCUGACAACAGUGAGCAGAAGCCAGGAUCCCCCACCCCGUGCAGCCUGACUUCUGCAGCCAGUGAUGAAAAUCUAGCUCUAAAGUCAGGGGCACAACCUAGCAACGUGGUGGGGAACCCAGCCUGCUGACAGAGUGGGGUAUUUCAAGCAUACCCCGAAUGCUUGGCUUCUCUUAAAACAUCAGAAAUUUAGUCACAUCGGGGCAAAUUCCUGCCUGGCUGUUCUGAGCUGAGGCCUCUGCCCUCCAGGUCACUCCUGACCCUCCUUUAUGUAGCCACACAGCCUCUGAUGACACCUGCGUUUUCAAUCCCAUCUCUAUAUAGAGUGGGCAGGAGUUUUGAUGAGGUUAUAGGUGGCUUUUUCUCUCUUUUUCAUGUGACUGUGCUGGGUCUUAGUUGUGGCACGUGGAAAUGGUCUGUUGUGGCAUGCAGGGUCUAGUUCCCUGACCAGGGAUGGAACCCUCCCCCUAUACUGGCAGCGUGGAGUCUUAGCCACUAGACCACCAGGGAAGUUCCUAUAGGUGGCAUUUUAAGUGAUAAGAAGCUUUCUCCACCCUGGUUGGUGCAGGCAUGGAAUGGGGUGGAGCAAACCCAAGACUGGGAACCAGAUAAUCAGUGGUUCAAAAUCCUGCCUCUGCCAUUCAUUGACUGUGUGAUCUUGGGAAAUUCAGUUUUUUCAUCUUGAAAAUGGGAAGCUGUGUCCCAUUAGACUUUUGCAAGGAAUGAAUUAACACAAAAAGGUCUUCUAUGCACCAGGUAGAGUCAGGGGUGAGGGGCACAGAGGACUAGGCAAGACAUUGAAACCCAAAAUCUAUGGAGAUCAGAC